UGGGGAAUAUUGCACAAUGGACGGAAGUCUGAUGCAGCGACGCCGCGUGGGGGAUGAAGGCUUUCGGGUUGUAAACUCCUUUCAGUACAGAAGAAGCUUUAUUGUGACGGUAUGUGCAGAAGAAGCGCCGGCUAACUACGUGCCAGCAGCCGCGGUAAUACGUAGGGCGCGAGCGUUGUCCGGAAUUAUUGGGCGUAAAGAGCUCGUAGGCGGUUUGUCGCGUCUGCUGUGAAAGACCGGGGCUUAACUCCGGGGCUGCAGUGGGUACGGGCAGGCUGGAGUGCGGUAGGGGAGAUUGGAAUUCCUGGUGUAGCGGUGAAAUGCGCAGAUAUCAGGAGGAACACCGGUGGCGAAGGCGGGUCUCUGGGCUGUUACUGACGCUGAGGAGCGAAAGCGUGGGGAGCGAACAGG
rnacentral:rRNA from 1 species